AUAUAGCUAUUAUAAGAUAUAUUGUUAAAGGUAUCAAUAAUAUAUAUGUGGCAUUGAAGUUGUUAGAAGCUGAUAUUUUACAUUUUAAAUAUGUUUCUUUUGUUUGAUUUUUUCUGUGUUUGAUUAUGAAACCCCAUCUACUAACAUAUUAGAACAGUGUACAAAAAAGUGAUAUUACUAGAACUUAUAUUUCACUUAUGUAAAGCUUUCUAAUAUUCAAUCUUUCUGAGGCAGAGGGACAUUAUUCUUGGUUUAAUAAUUUUUUAAUUUAAUAUCUCUGGAUAUUUUUCAUAUUUAGUUUGCGUACAACAGUUAACAACUUUAAGCUUAUACAUUAACUUUAGUUAUAACUUAAUUAUUAAUGAUUUGAUUUAUAGAUUUUUAAAGCAAUACAAGAUUGAAUUUAGCAUAAGGCUAAAUUUCUGCUCUGGAGACAAAAAAGGAAGACAGCGAAAAUGACCAGUCAAAAUAAAGAUUGAAGAAAUAAAAAAUUGUGUAUAUCUUGGUGUAGAUGAUUUAUCCACAUUUUCUUAUAAUAAAACAAAAAAUAUUAUUAAACUUUGGGAUUUACCUAUAACUCCAAAAUCUUUACAGAAGUUUAAUGUUUGCUCUGAGAAGUUGAAUGAACAAAUUUAUCAAAUGUGUUCAUUCUUAGUCGGCAUUGAAGUACAACUUGGUAAACUACAAAACACAUCAAGUUCAGUUAUAAAAAUUUGAGUAACAAAGGUAUACUAAUUAUUGUAUUGCCUGAAAGAGUGUCAUUGCUAUUAAAAGCAGUGAAGAAUUCAAGUACUCUGGAAGAAAAGAAAAUAAGUCAAUUAUUUGGUACAAAUCAGAGUUAAAGACAAAGGAGAUUGUAUAUUUUAUUUGCUAAGAAUAGUUUUUUAAAAUGGUCUAGUUGAAAAGUUAAACUAUGCAGGGAGCGGACAAAAAAUUGGAAUAGAAAAAAUGUUGAUUGCAUAUGCUGCUAUUGAGACUGUGAAGUCAAAUAAGCAUGGCUUAUGCAGACAUGUGAUAGAGAUAGAGGAAGAAAAAAUAAUAAUCGUGGGCACCAAAUAUCAUAAGCUCA
rnacentral:lncRNA from 1 species